rnacentral:rRNA from 1 species
AUGAACGCUGGCGGCGUGCCUAAUACAUGCAAGUCGAGCGAACGGACGAGAAGCUUGCUUCUCUGAUGUUAGCGGCGGACGGGUGAGUAACACGUGGAUAACCUACCUAUAAGACUGGGAUAACUUCGGGAAACCGGAGCUAAUACCGGAUAAUAUUUUGAACCGCAUGGUUCAAAAGUGAAAGACGGUCUUGCUGUCACUUAUAGAUGGAUCCGCGCUGCAUUAGCUAGUUGGUAAGGUAACGGCUUACCAAGGCAACGAUGCUUAGCCGACCUGAGAGGGUGAUCGGCCACACUGGAACUGAGACACGGUCCAGACUCCUACGGGAGGCAGCAGUAGGGAAUCUUCCGCAAUGGGCGAAAGCCUGACGGAGCAACGCCGCGUGAGUGAUGAAGGUCUUCGGAUCGUAAAACUCUGUUAUUAGGGAAGAACAUAUGUGUAAGUAACUGUGCACAUCUUGACGGUACCUAAUCAGAAAGCCACGGCUAACUACGUG